AAGCAGUGGGAGCACGCUUAGGCGUGUGACUGCGUACCUUUUGUAUAAUGGGUCAGCGACUUAUAUUCUGUAGCAAGGUUAACCGAAUAGGGGAGCCGAAGGGAAACCGAGUCUUAACUGGGCGUUAAGUUGCAGGGUAUAGACCCGAAACCCGGUGAUCUAGCCAUGGGCAGGUUGAAGGUUGGGUAACACUAACUGGAGGACCGAACCGACUAAUGUUGAAAAAUUAGCGGAUGACUUGUGGCUGGGGGUGAAAGGCCAAUCAAACCGGGAGAUAGCUGGUUCUCCCCGAAAGCUAUUUAGGUAGCGCCUCGUGAAUUCAUCUCCGGGGGUAGAGCACUGUUUCGGCAAGGGGGUCAUCCCGACUUACCAACCCGAUGCAAACUGCGAAUACCGGAGAAUGUUAUCACGGGAGACACACGGCGGGUGCUAACGUCCGUCGUGAAGAGGGAAACAACCCAGACCGCCAGCUAAGGUCCCAAAGUCAUGGUUAAGUGGGAAACGAUGUGGGAAGGCCCAGACAGCCAGGAUGUUGGCUUAGAAGCAGCCAUCAUUUAAAGAAAGCGUAAUAGCUCACUGGUCGAGUCGGCCUGCGCGGAAGAUGUAACGGGGCUAAACCAUGCACCGAAGCUGCGGCAGCGACGCUGAUGCGUUGUUGGGUAGGGGAGCGUUCUGUAAGCCUG
rnacentral:rRNA from 1 species